rnacentral:rRNA from 1 species
CCACGGCCAUAGGACUCUGAAAGCACCGCAUCCCGUCCGAUCUGCGCAGUUAACCAGAGUGCCGCCCAGUUAGUACCACGGUGGGGGACCACGCGGGAAUCCUGGGUGCUGUGGUUUUACUUUUUUU